UUUUUCCGCAAUGAGACCGGAGCGCUGUGGUCGCUGUCCAAUGUGCACUUUUUGGAUGAAUGAAGUGGGACAAAUCCGUCUGCAUACGGCCACUUUUGUGAGGCAGCUGGCGUGAUGGUUGCUGUAUGCACAGUGUCUUCCAGCUCAGCCGUGGAAGACUGCAACCUCUUUGGAGUUUCCAUUGGCCUCUUGGCUCACAUUUGGGCCAUAUUCUCUCUAUUACUUAAUAAUGGACUUUACUGUGCUCCGGGGGACAUUCAGUGCCAUGUAAAUGUUCUUAUAUCCUAACCCUGAUUGAUACUUUUCCAGAACCUUUUUUUUUUUCUUUUUCAGAACCCCUAACUGCACACAGGUGAACUCCAUUCAAGUAAUUAUAUGCCUUCCAAAGAAAACUGAUUGCACCAGACAGCUCAUUUAGCCUUUUAUUUUUCACUAUGACAUUAUAGAUUUUUUUUGUGCUGAUCAGUGGGAGAAACACAAGAUUGAACCCAUUAUAACUUCAUAUUGUCGUCAAACCGUAAAAUGUGGAAAAGUCCAUGGACACGUUUGAGAGUCACUGUAUCUCCCUUGCAGAUAAAGGGUCUUUUUUCAUUGGCUUUAUAACCUCCAGACAAGCUGAGAAAUUAGUUGGAAUCUCUAAAGUCCCAUUGGAAAUAAUACAGAGGUGCAUGGGUGCCACUUAAAUCUGGUCCCCUGCUCUUUCAACAACGACAAAAGACCUCUCCCCUCCACGCUGUCUCUGAUCAACAACAUAAGAGCACACUGUCUCUGACAGUAAAUUAUGAUGUAUACGUGUGUGUAUAUAUUAAUGUCUUAUUAAUGUCUUAGAAGUUGUUCCUGCUGUUGAUAAUGUCUAUGACUGUCUUAUGCAUUCUUCUCAUUCUUACCAUGAACCACUGAUUUCUGCCACUGGAUAAUUCACACACAUUAUAAGCUAUAGACCACAUUUGCCAUCUUAAUGCAAGGGACUAAAUUCGCUCUUGGGUUUGCUUUUGGAAUAAUAUGAACUUUCAUAGAUAUGUUUGUCUGUUUUUAAUACCCAGUGUUCAUGUUGCCAUUGUAUAGCAUUUUUAAAUA